rnacentral:rRNA from 1 species
AGCGAACGCUGGCGGCAGGCUUAACACAUGCAAGUCGAACGGGCACUUCGGUGCUAGUGGCCGACGGGUGAGUAACACGUGGGAACGUACCUUUCGGUUCGGAAUAAUCCAGGGAAACUUGGACUAAUACCGGAUACGCCCUUCGGGGGAAAGAUUCAUCGCCGAUAGAUCGGCCCGCGUCUGAUUAGCUAGUUGGUGAGGUAAUGGCUCACCAAGGCGACGAUCAGUAGCUGGUCUGAGAGGAUGAUCAGCCACAUUGGGACUGAGACACGGCCCAAACUCCUACGGGAGGCAGCAGUGGGGAAUAUUGGACAAUGGGCGCAAGCCUGAUCCAGCCAUGCCGCGUGAGUGAUGAAGGCCUUAGGGUUGUAAAGCCCUUUUGUCCGGGAAGAUAAUGACUGUACCGGAAGAAUAAGCCCCGGCUAACUUCGUG